rnacentral:rRNA from 1 species
UACGAGGGGGGCAAGCGUUGUUCGGAAUUAUUGGGCGUAAAGGGUGCGUAGGCGGCGCGGUAUGUCUCUUGUGAAAUCUCCAGGCUCAACUUGGAGUCUGCAAGGGAAACUGCCGUGCUUGAGUACUGGAGAGGUGAGUGGAAUUCCCGGUGUAGCGGGUGAAAUGCGUGAGAUAUCGGGAGGAACACCUGUGGCGAAAGCGGCUCACUGGACAGUAACUGACGCUGAUGCACGAAAGCGUAGGGGAGCAAACAGG